AAAAACACUCAGAAAUGGAAAUCUAAAAGUGUCAGUUCGGUAUGAAUUUCCAUGGCGUUAAUAUAAACACUGGUGCCAGAACCUCCAAGUCCAAAUCCCUGGCUCGACACUUCUGGCACGCAAUAGACUGCUCAUCUGAUUUUUGGAAGAUGUUUUUCUGGAAGAAAUCAAAGACGGGAAAGAAAUGGUGUGGGCUAAGGAGGACCAAACCUUGUAGUCCUGGAACAUGGUGAGACAGAAUUUUCCACAAUCUUUCCCAGAUAAGAUGAUUUAAGGUGAGGAACUUUUCCAGAUGCUGUGUCAGGGAUCUGUCAUUCUCAUGCAGACAGGCUUCAAAAAGACACUGACCCACCAGGCGAAAAUGCUGAACUAUGCGAUCACCCAUCAAUCCCCAAGACCACAGAAGAGGGAGAGCAGGGAAGAGUCCAUCCUGGCCUUUCUGGGGAUUGUUGGGACCAUCCUCAACCUACUUGUCAUUAUUUUUGUCUACAGCUAUACUUCUAUCUGACUCUAGACUCUGACAUGUGUGAUUGUACUUUCCAUGGGGGAAGAUUUACUUCCCAGAUACUUGAUCAAAGAUGAGAUGUACUGUAGCAUGUGUAUUACCUCACAGACAUUUGAACAUUACUGAAUUAUGUGGGUAAUCAACCAAUCCAGAUCUGCCUUUCGGAUACAACACACUGAUGAACAGUUAUUGGUAGCAUAAAUUCAUCUCAUGUCUAGAAUUAAACAUUAU